GGGGACGUUUUGGAUUAGACAGGAUGUUCGGUGAAUGCAAGCUGCGAGUCCGAGAGCUGUUCUCGGUCAUCAACGAGCAAAACAAAUUAAAUGCUAACAAUAAUGUAAUUAAAGCAAACUUCGCUCCUGCAUACGCAGUUGCAGCGUAAUUCUUUAAUGAAUAGCUACUCAUAGAGUCCAGCUUGCCGACUUUGUGAGUCCAUCAUGCAAGCCGCAGUGCGUCGAUGACGGUAAACGCAUCAAGACAACCGUUAAGGGUUUAGAGUUUCCCUCAAAUAAAACCUUGGGCUAAGUCAUAAAGGUUCUGAUUUUUUCCCGACUUAGCCGAGAAAAUGAAAAUCUACACUCGUAGAAGUUUGUCUUUAUCCAUUUUGGACAGGGGUUCAACUCCCCUCGUCUCCAU
rnacentral:tmRNA from 1 species